CACCGCCCGUCACAUCACGAAAGUGGGCUGUACUAGAAGUGGCUGAGCUAACCCUUUGGGAGGCAGGUCACGACGGUAUGGUUCAUGAUUGGGGUG
rnacentral:rRNA from 1 species